rnacentral:rRNA from 1 species
CCUACGGGAGGCAGCAGUGGGGAAUAUUGCACAAUGGGGGGAACCCUGAUGCAGCAACGCCGCGUGGGUGAAGAAGUACUUCGGUAUGUUAAGCCCUGUCAGCAGGGAAGAAAAUGCCGGUACCUGACCAAGAAGCCCCGGCUAACUACGUGCCAGCAUCCGCUGUCAUACGGAGGGGGCAAGCGUUAUCCGGAUUUACUGGGUGUAAAGGGAGCGUAGACGGCAAGGCAAGUCUGGAGUGAAAGCCCGGGGCUCAACCACGGGACUGCUUUGGAAACUGUGUUGCUGGAGUGCAGGAGGGGUAAGCGGAAUUCCUAGUGUAGCGGUGAAAUGCGUAGAUAUUAGGAGGAACACCGGUGGCGAAGGCGGCUUACUGGACUGUAACUGACGUUGAGGCUCGAAGGCGUGGGGAGCAAACAGGAUUAGAUACCCCAGUAGUC